AAAAACAUUUGAUUUGGGUAGAAAAGAAAUUCAAAUUUGCCGCCUAAAUUUGAGUGUUGAGGUAUGUUCAAUGCUUGGUUUCGCAUUAAGUACCCGUCAAAUUUGAGGGAAAAAAGGGGUGUGGGUGUUGGGUAGCCAGCACAUAUGCAAAUAUCAGGUAAAAGUGUAAUGGGACUUGUGCAGGUGUUUGGGAGUUUCUUUGGACCUGUUAGAUAGGAUAUUUGGAGGUGCAAAGAAACCGGAUGUAACAUUUUCCUAGAUUGUAGUAACUGCUGGUGCAUGCUGGGAGUCUACAAGCCUCAUGUUGUCAGAUGUUGUGAAGAUGCACUGGAUUUGACCGUGUGUGUUGUGGAUUGUGGAAUUGAAUAUACAGUUUGUAAUGGCUCAUCCUAUGUGUUCUAAUUGACGGAGACAAUGUCUUUCAGUCAUUUCACCCAAGGAGGCAUGCAUAUACGGAUUUAUAGGCUUUGACAACAAACAACCAAAAUGGCGGCCGGUGAAUUAGAAAGUGUCUGAGUGCAUGUAGGAUAUCUGAACGGAGAAUAGGAGUACUGCAUCCCAUCUGAUCCUGCAGUCAUUUCACCCAAGGAGGCAUGCAUAUACGGAUUUAUAGGCUUUGACAACAAACAACCAAAAUGGCGGCCGGUGAAUUAGAAAGUGUCUGAGUGCAUGUAGGAUAUCUGAACGGAGAAUAGGAGUACUGCAUCCCAUCUGACCCUGCAGUCAUUUCACCCAAGGAGGCAUGCAUAUACGGAUUUAUAGGCUUUGACAACAAACAACCAAAAUGGCGGCCGGUGAAUUAGAAAGUGUCUGAGUGCAUGUAGGAUAUCUGAACGGAGAAUAGGAGUACUGCAUCCCAUCUGACCCUGCAGCUAAUCCAUUUUCUUUUGGAAACCAAUGAAAACUCAUAUGCAGAACCUAUUGACCAACCUGGACUAUCAGCAUCUAAGGAAACAGCUCAACGAAGACAUGAAUAGUGACAAAAAUAGCCCACUCUCAAUCCAUAUUGAAGAACAAAUCAACCUUGUACAACAUAUACAGAUAGAAUUGCCCAGUCAUUGUCCAUCAUAUGUGCUAAGGAAUGUUCAAGUGAAGAAGUGAAAAUAAUGAAAUGUAUUAAGAAUACAAAAUUAAAAAUUUAAGAAUUAAGAGUGUCAUUUUCAUCAAUCCAUCCCAAUUCACUAGUGUUUUCAUUUGAAGCUGCUAAUAAUUCCUCUUCAUUAUAAUUAGGCUCAAAUUGAUAUUCUUUGCAGUCAGACAUGACCAACUGCUUUCACUGAGAGGCAAUUGCCCGGUAUACGUCAUAAGGUGGGAUUGUGGGAAAUAUCUUAAAAGAGCGAUUAACUUUAUCUUGCAAAAUGGCAGCCCCCAGCAGAUGAUGUGUAGCUAUAUUUAAUAGCCGAUAUCUACACAACAGAUUACAAUCAAAUGGAAAUAACCAGUGGACUUAAUUACUAAAUAUUUAGUAUUUGAAAUGUGAAAAUAUUUUUUAUACCCUACGUUCCCUUUAAGUCCUCUAGGGCUCUUCCUCUUUAGAUACAUAAAUGUAAGCUGUAUUAAUUAUAACAUGACUUAGACACACAGUGUCAAAAUGUGGGUGUAUAGAACUGCACUUUAUGUGUAUAUCUACGUACAUAUUGUAAUCUGACACAAUAUGUUCAAACUCAUGAUGCCACGUGUAUAGAUAUAUGGUAAACAAUGCGCAUAGUUUUCACUCCUCAUACAUACCUGUUUCUUUGUAAUUGUUCAAACAGAAAAGACAUCUGAAAGCUUUUAAAAUAAAAUGCUUGUUACACUAAGGAGUAUGAUAAUGUAGAACUUGCUAUAUUCCCUAACUACGGAAGCCGAUAGGUGCCAGGGUAUAGAAUCAAUAUUUGUUUAACUGGCGGCCGCCACUUAAUUUAUGUGGCGACCGACACUUAUUAUCUGGCGGCCGCCAGUUAAAUUAAGUGGCGGCCGCCACAUAAAUUAAGUUAAACAAAUAUUAAUUCUAUACCCUGGCACCUAUCGGCUUCCGUACCUAACUCCCAGUUACAUUAUGGACCUAGUCAUCGACUGCAUGCAUAUUGGUCAUGCAUGGAUCGUGUGGGGGGAAAUGAUGGGGUGUUCAGGGCAGAUCUCUUUGGAGUUUUAUGAUUUUUGAUUUUAAAAAGUUACAGUCAAAAAUUCAAAGCACACUGAGAUCAUAGGAUGGAUACAUACUAGACACCUUCGCGGAAUCCCCGAUAGUCCUUGAUUCUUUCCAUCAUACGACAUCUCAUGCAUUUUAAAUGUAAACUGCACAGGUCAAGGAUAAAUAAAUUUGUAGAGCUGAGAAAAUCUUAAUCCUAUUUGAAUUUCUGGUAUCAGGGCAUGUCAAAGUGUUCUUUUCGUUCAGUAUAAAGCCAUCCACUUACGGCUAAAUAUGAGCACUUUACACCUAUAAGAAUCAUACAAAAGCACGCUUGAUUAGUUUUGUGAAAUUAAGAUUCGUAGGCUCAUAUUAAUUCCCCGAACAUAAUUUCCAUUACCAGUAAUCUAUGUGGUGGAAAUAAAACCGAAAAUCUUAGCUGAUUGGGGGUCUUUCCUUCCUUCCUUAUUCACAGACACACGAGUAAUGGCCGUAAAAUGAUGUACAUAUAUUUCUUUAGAAUGAAUUUACAUGUACUUUUGUGGUAACUUUCAAAUUAUCUAACCGGUGUGAUCUACAUUACAACUGGUGUAACUUGUUGAAGACAAGUUUUUUAGUAUGAAGUGCAGUACAGUGCACAUAAAUGCAUAUAUACCCAUAUCACUCUAUGAAUUUAUAUUCAAACAUUUAGAUAUCAUGUUGAGCUUCAUUCAUGAGAGAGAGAGAGAGA